rnacentral:rRNA from 1 species
AACGUAGGUUCCGAGCGUUAUCCGGAUUUACUGGGCGUAAAGGAUGCGUAGGCGGACAUUUAAGUCAGAUGUGAAAUACCCGAGCUUAACUUGGGUGCUGCAUUUGAAACUGGGUGUCUAGAGUGCAGGAGAGGUAAGUGGAAUUCCUAGUGUAGCGGUGAAAUGCGUAGAGAUUAGGAAGAACACCAGUGGCGAAGGCGACUUACUGGACUGUAACUGACGCUGAGGCAUGAAAGCGUGGGGAGCAAACAGG